CAACGAUGGAGGAGCAAGGUCGACCAACAGCAAAAGACAGGAUGAUGAGUCCAUUUCCCAUCUCUAUGCAGCAACCAAUAUGGCUCAAGGUUCAGAAGAAAUUUGAGGCUGACCAGGAUCCUGAAGUGAAGAGCAGUCCCUCUCCCAUUUAACAGCGUUCAUGAGCAGAAAGUGCGGAAGCAGAGAUAGCCACCUCUGAAGGUCAGUCUGGAGUGUUUUCUGCUGCAUUCAGAAAGUAUGGGGUGUAUAGUAGUUGUAAGUAGCGUUACAAAGGUGUUUCUUAGUCUUAGGUUUAGUUUGUAUAGUAUUUCCGGUAGGUGCAGUUGUGUUGUAGUUUGAGUUAGUAAGUAGGCUUUAGUUGAUAGUUAGACAGCUUAGAGGAGUGUAGGUUAUUAUUGUAAUUAAGGUAUUUGUUAGUUAGUGCAUGAUUAGUGCUUGUGGUGGAUAGGUUUGCAUGAUUAACACCCUAACAAGCAGGGUUCUCCAUGAGCUGUUUUACUGUGUUGGUCCCGACACAGAAAAAUGUUCUCCGACACAGUAAAGAUUCAAAUUUUAUCUGUGCGACACAUUAAAAAUUUUGCUGACACAGUAAGAUCUGUGAUAAUAAAAAAAAAUUGAAACAUACAAAUUCUCUCUAUCUGAAACAUAAUUGAUCAAACAAUUCUACCGUCUUUCAAUUCUAUACGAUAUCUAGAUCACUUAAUUAUGCUUUCACCUUGCAUAAUCAAUUAUUUCCUAGACCCUCAAUGGACUUGACGCAUGAAGGAACAAAGACAAAAAAUUGGAUUUCAAACUUCCAUGUAACGCUUAAUUGGUACUAGUAGUUGCAAUUAAAGUACAUUGUAUUAUUUUUAAAAAUAUAUUUAAAUGUCUUUUCUUUAGAGCCAUGGCUCUAGAAUUAUGUUUGCAAUGUAAAUCAAACAUAACACUGUACCAAAAUCAUUUACUUGAUGUAAAUAAAUAGUUUUCAAUUUUCAAGGAACUUUUAAAAGUAUUUUACUAUUCCGAAGUCUCUUUUUUUGUAAUUCCUUAAUUCGAUCAAUAAAAUUGACAAAAAAAUUAUGACAAAUUUGCUUUAAAAAAUUGUAAGUAGUUCAACUUUAUAGACAAGAAUUUCCUCUGCAUUUCACAACAUGUGCUAAUAUGUUCGACCAUACUAUUUUUGUAACGAAUUGGUGAUUUUUUUUUUUUUUUAAAUUGUGUGCAUGUAUUCUUAAGUAAUUAUAAUGAAUAGUGAGUCAGUUGCAAAUUUGAUCGCUAAAAUACCGUGAAAUUUUAGUGCUUUGCGUAAACUCUGCAACACAGUAAAAUUUCAAACAAUGGAGAACCCUGAACAAGUAACAAGCUACUAAAACUACUAACGUCUGCUAAAUGUUGUGUGACGCGUCUAGUGUGUUGGUGUUAGUGUCUGUGUGCUUGUCACCUCUCGCUUUCAGCCAUCACCGCUGGCUAGCAGCAAUGCGAAAAGGGGGAAGAAAUUCUAACAUCUUCCCCUGCCAGUACAUAGCCUCUCCACAACAAGUCCUAUGCGAUGCCUCCACGUGGAAGCAGACGGAUACUGGGUAUCAUUUUGUCCCAGGCUAAGUUCGCAAGGGCGCACGGGAAGAUGAGUCUCAAAAGCAUUGAGGAAUACUUUUAAGGCUAAACAGGAUCCUGAAAUGAGGAGGACUCCCUCUCUCAUCGAACUGCAUACAGCAGCAGAAAGCAGGAUUUCAGUUCCCCUUUGAUUCAGAAGAGGAACAACAAUGGAGGACCAAGGUCAUUAAUAUAAGAAGAGUCUAUUCCUGUCUGUGUUUUGCAGCAGAAGAAAGUUAAGACUGACCAGGAAUUCUAAGUGAGGAAGAGUCCCUUUCCCAUUCCGCUGCAGCCAUGAGGAGAAUACUCGUAAGAAUCAGACUUUACUUCUUUUUCACCUAUGGAACUUCAUCAUGACCCACUUUAACAGGCAGGAGUCUUACAAGUAUUUUUUAUUUAAUUAUUUCUGACAUAUCUUUGUCCUCCCUACUCUAAAGUAACUAUGCUUUCCUCUCCUUGCCCCAAUAUUCCACCUUAUUCCUAGCUAUCAUAACCUUAUUGUCUUUAUUUGCUUUUUGAUUUUCAAGCUAAUAAUGUUGUAAUGAUUAUGUUCAUUUGAAUUUCUGUGAUUAUUACAUUGCUUUGUAUUAUUGCUUAUCUUCUCUCCAUCAAGUAUUUUCAAGGAAUUUGACAAGGGAAGAGGACCAGUGCUGACCAAGUGAAGAAAAAGAAGAGUCUAUUGCCAAGCUUUGUACAGCAGCCAAUAUCUGAUUAAGGAGUGGAAGAUGAGACUGAUCUCAAUCAGUUAACAAGAAUGUGGAAAGUAAGGACUUACUACUGUCUAACCUAAACAUUGAUGGCAGGCGGUUAUGCUGGCAUUGAUCCUGUUUCCAAAAGCAGAUCAACAUGAUUCCUCAAGACUCCAAAGAGAUCAACUAUGGGACCUGAAAAUAAAGGCAGACUGCCAUCAAUUUCAUGUUUCUUUGAUAGCAGACAAAUAUGCUUCAACAAUAGUGCAGAGAGUAAUUUAAGGUUUGGACUGCAAGUGAUGGACACACUAAAUAACUCAACUCAAAGAAUUCAAUGGAUAGUGCUGAGUACAUUAUUAUAUAUCUACAAAUUGAUGGGCACACUAAAUAGCUUAACUGA